rnacentral:lncRNA from 10 species
UCUACUUCUUCCUCUUGAUCAGGAAACUGGAGCAGUUCCUCACGACCAUCCAUUGCAGAUGCGCAGACAUGGCGGCGGCUUCUCUCGCAGCGGCCUCAGGGGCAAUUUAAAAGGUCCGCGCUGCGUUUAUGAGCUGUAACACGCACCACCGAGAAGGUCUGCAGCUUCACUGCAGAAGCCAGUGAGACCACAAACCUACCGAAAGUAAGAAACUCUGGACACAUGUGAACAUCUGAGGGAACAAACUCCGGACACACCAUCUUUCAGAACUGUAACACUCACCGCGAGCGUCGGCGGCUUGGUUCUUGAAGUCAGCGAGACCAAGAACCCACCAAUUCCGAACACUCUGUGAGUCAUUUUUUUGGUUCUUUUUUUAUCUUCAGGAGGUAACUACUCAGAGGAACAGUUCAAAUGGUGACAGUGUAGGCAAAACACAUCACCUAACUUACCAAAGCCUAAAUUUACCCUCUUGUGUCAUUUACAUCAUAUUCUGACAAUGAUGUUACACCUAAACCACAAACAGUAAACAAAAAAGUAUUAAUGCUUCUUUUUUAGGUUCUUACAUAUUGCAGAGUUAAAUACAUUUAGUUAAAUGAUCUGGGCUCAAGUCAGUUUAUUUCCCCUUUUUCAUAAAACUGCUAUUAGGCCACUGAUUUUUUUUUUUUCCUGUUAGCCUAGUAGGAUGGCACAUUAGUUUGCCAGGACUGCCAUAACAAAGUACUGCAGACUGGGUGGCUUAAACAACAAAAAUAUAUUUUCUCAAAAUCCUAGAAGCUAGGAUUUCCAGACUAAGGUGUUGGCCGAUGUUUAUCUCCCUCGUUUGUCCAUGGUUGUCGUCUCCUUGUGUCUUCACAUUGUCUUUUCUCUGUGUGUGUCUGUGUCCAAAUUUCCUCUUCUUAUAAGGACAUUGAUCAUGUAGGAUUGGGACCCAUCCUAAAGACUUCAUUUUAACUUGAUUACCACUUUUAAAGCACUGUUUCCACAUAUGGUUACGUUCUUAAGACUUCAACAUACCACGUUUUUUAGUGGGGUGGGAUACGUUUCAGUCCAUAAUGGGAGGUUAAUGGUGGAGGUAGUUAAUUGCCAGAAUGCCUAGCUUCAAAUUCCAGAUCAGCUAGUUUGACAUGGCUGUGUAACCCUGGGCUAUUUACUUACCCACUUUGAAACUCAGUUUUCUCGUCUGCUUUGUAAGGUUGUUGUGAGAAUUAAAUAAGCUAAUACAGGCAAAGCCCAGAGCUAAUAAGCUGAAUAAGCGAAUACAGCCAAAGAUCCAGAAUGGUUUCUGGAAGGUACUAAGAGCAAUAGAUGUUAGCUAUUAAUAAUUACAUUACCAUCAUCAUUUUUUAUGUAUUUACUUAUAAACACAUAAUUGGUACUUCCCAGAUGACAUGAUACAUUUGCUUGUAAUAUGCCAGAGAAGGUACAUAAACCAAAAAUUACC